rnacentral:lncRNA from 1 species
AGAGAAUUUAGCUGGGCAAAGGAGCACAAAGAAGCCAAGCAGAGGCCACAGCAGAGCUGAGGGCCAUACUUCAUGAACUUAGAGUUUGAUUGCCCAACGGACAAGCUGUGGGUGACAUACAUGUCCCCGACAGGCCUCCACAGCUAUGGAGAGAAGGCUAAAGGAGACACGAUGGACAGUCAAUAUUCUGGCUAAGCAAGAACCACCAAGAACCUCAGGUGGAGCAGGCAGAUGACCCUAAAGAGGUAGAGUGCUCUAAAUCAUGCUUGUGAAAAAUUGAGAACUUCUUCCAAGGGCGUGCUCCACCUCAGAAUAAGGAGGAAGAGUGUCCAAAAUGUGGUCAUUGUGUGGGGUGUUUUUUGAAGCAACUGAGGUCUGCCAAGAAGGACACCAUGGGAUUUUUACCUUCUAGGUUAGCCUCCCUCUCACCCUCUUAGAAUGUCACACGAGAAACUGUAUGUCCCUUGUGCCACCAGGGGAGACACAACAAAAAAUUUGAAAGGGCACUGUCAAGAUAAAUG